CAGCACCUCAAGUGGUCAGGAUGAUUAUUGGGCCUAAAGCACCCGUAGCCGGCUCUGUAAGUUUUCGGUUAAAUCUGUAUGCUCAACAUACAGGCUGCCGGGAAUACUGCAGAGCUAGGGAGUGGGAGAGGUAGACGGUACUCGGUAGGAAGGGGUAAAAUCCUUUGAUCUAUUGAUGACCACCUGUGGCGAAGGCGGUCUACCAGAACACGUCCGACGGUGAGGGAUGAAAGCUGGGGGAGCAAACCGGAUUAGAGACCCGAGUAGUCC
rnacentral:rRNA from 1 species